rnacentral:sRNA from 1 species
UUAUACUGGACACGCAGGGUAUGGUAGG